UUUUAUUAUAAUUCUUAGCUUCCUUGGAUUGGGUUUCGACAUUCUCCUGAAUCUUGAUGAUCUUUGUCAUUUUGGCCAUUUCAGCCUGCUAAAGAACCCCUGGUGGGAAAUUAGUGUGUUCAUUUGGAGGAAAGAAGCCACGAUGCCUUUUUGAGUUGUAAGAGUUCUUGUGCUUUUUCUUUCUCAUCAGUGUGGGCUGGUGUUCCUUUAACUAGGGUAUAAAUUGAUUACAGUCAGUAGAUUUCUUUUCUGUGUGUUUUCAGAGGGCCAAGGCUUUGUUCAGUCUUUAUUUGCAGUGAAAUUUUUGUCCUGGGUUUCACAGGGAGGUAUAUUAGCAGAGUAUUUUGGUGUUGAUGUUUUGGGCCGUGAUCCAGUAGGUGGUGCUUAAGCAUAAUUUCCAGUAGGUAGGCUGUUGCUCAGUCAUGUGGCUCUUCACAGUUGUUUCUGUGCUCCCUCUUAGUGCUCUGAAAUCUUGGGCUCCUCUCCCUCUUGAUUGCUGGCUGAAAAUCUUGGCUUGGCACUCCCAAGCUGCACACCACAGCUCUGGGACAAUCUCAAGCUUUAUAUCCCUUCCCAUCUUGGAGGAAUCAGAGGAAGGAAAGUUAGCAGUGGUUGUGACAGAGGGUUUUUCACUUGUCUCUUGGAGCUCCACCUCAGAAAGACGCAGAGCUGCUAUCAAUCAGUAUGAUUGGCCUAGGAUGGGGCAGCUGUGCUGUGAGACCAACCCAUGGCAGACAUCCAGCUGAUCACACUGUGUCCACAUAAGGCAAAUGCUGAGCUGUAAUCCAUCAAGCUGUUUCCGGUCAUAGGCACAAAGGGAUGCAAUGCCAACUAACUAACUCACUGUCCUGAAGCAGUUCCCUGAUGCCCUAUAAAUCACCAGAUCUACUCCUUGGAUGAUAAAGCAAUGCAAAUUGCAGAAAUUAGAGGCAUAGAGAAAAGGCCAUAUGAGUACACAGCCAGAAGGUGUCUGCCUACAAGACAAAGAGGGAAAACUUACCUGAAACCAACCCUGAUGGAUAUUGGAUUUCUAAGCUCCAGAACUGUGAGAAAAUUAAUUUUAUGUGCUUUAAGACACUCAAUUUGUGGUAUUCUGUUAUGGCAGCCUAUGCUAGUCAAUUUGCAUUACCAUAAAGCAACACCUGAGAGUGGGUAAAUUAUAAAGAAAAGAAGUUGAAUCGGCUCAUGGUUCUGCAGGCAGUACAGAAGCAUAGUGCUGGCAAUUGCCCCUGGCAAGGGGCUCAGGAAGCUUACAAACAUGGCAGAAGGCAAAGGGAAGCCAACAUAUCACACGUAAGCUCAGGAAGCUUACAAACAUGGCAGAAGGCAAAGGGAAGCCAACAUAUCACGUGGCGAGAAAGACAGAGAAGCGGUAGGUCCCAGACUCUUUUAAACAACAAGACCUCAUGUGAACUGAGGGGAAACUCACUUUCACCAAGGAGAUGGUGCUAAACCACUAAUGAGGGAUCUGUCCCAUGAGCCAAUCACCUCCCACCAAGACCUACCUCCAAUUUUGGAAAUUAUAUUUCAACAUGAGAUUUGGAGGGGACAAACAUCCAAACCAUAUCCCAGCCUGAGCAGACUAACAGAGUCUCUGAAUAAAUCUAUGAAAAUGACUAGAGUAUUAUUUUGUUGAGUGAUUUCUUCUUGUAUUAGGAUUGGUCUCCUUGAAAAUAUUUUUCUCAUAUCUGUUAUAAUAAAAUACUGAGAAUCAUACUAAUUCUACUCUAAACUUAGAUAUUUAAGAGGGUUGGAUUUGACUGAUUGCUCUGAUGUUGCUAACAUAGUCAAAGACUUUUCAAAACUAAAGUGUAAUAUUAUGUCAUGCAACCUUGAGAAAAUUACAAUGGACAAAGCAGAACUAUAAUUCACAAUUCAUCUCCCAAACAAAUUGUGACACCCCUUCUUUCCAAUCCACUGAAAUAUGCCUAAAAUGAGAAAAAAGGGAAAUCUUAAAAACAACAACAACAACAACAAAGAAAAAACAGAAAACGGCAACAUUCAGGCAAAAAAGAAUGUGAGGACUAUGAUGCUGGCAUGCUAAACUUAAUUAAUAAUAAAUGAGAGAGUUUGGAAUGAU
rnacentral:lncRNA from 1 species